UUGCGGCUACCAGCCGGCAAUACGGCUAUCAGCCGGGCGUGUCUGUAGUAUGCUAUAGUAUACUAUAGUAUACUACAGACACGCCCAGCUGAUAGCCGUAUUGCCGGCUGGUAGCUGCAAUGUA